AUUGAACGCUGGCGGCAGGCCUAACACAUGCAAGUCGAACGGCAGCACAGAAGAGCUUGCUCUUUGGGUGGCGAGUGGCGGACGGGUGAGUAAUGUCUGGGAAACUGCCCGAUGGAGGGGGAUAACUACUGGAAACGGUAGCUAAUACCGCAUAACGUCGCGAGACCAAAGUGGGGGACCUUCGGGCCUCACACCAUCGGAUGUGCCCAGAUGGGAUUAGCUAGUAGGUGGGGUAAUGGCUCACCUAGGCGACGAUCCCUAGCUGGCCUGAGAGGAUGACCAGCCACACUGGACCUGCGACACGGUCCAGAAUCCUACGGGAGGCAGCAGUGGGGAAUAUUGCACAAUGGGCGCAAGCCUGUUGCAGCCAUGCCGCGUGUAUGAAGGAGUCCUUCGGGUUGUAAAGUACUUUCAGCGGGGAGGAAGGCGGUGAGGUUAAUAACCUUGCCGAUUGACGUUACCCGCAGAAGAAGCACCGGCUAACUCCGUGCCAGCAGCCGCAGUAA
rnacentral:rRNA from 1 species